rnacentral:misc_RNA from 1 species
AAACCCAUUCCCUCUGUUUUCCUUUUUUUAUAAGAAUUUUAUAUAUUGGUUUUGCAAUUACCAGGUUUAAUUGCAGCUUUUAUGAUCUGAUCUUGAGCAUCCAGUCAUGUCGAUGCUUGAUUCCUUCUUCAACAAGGGCUUUAAGGCUGCCAAAUGUAAAACCCUACUCAAGUUGACUAUCCCGCGCAUAAAGUUUCUGAGGAAUAGGAGAGAGAUUCAGAUAAAGCAAAUGCGUCGGGACAUUGCUAAGCUUCUUGAGACUGGUCAAGAAGCUACUGCUCGCAUUCGGGUAGAGCAUAUAAUAAGAGAAGAGAACAUGAUGGCUGCUCAAGAAAUCCUUGAGCUAUUCUCUGAGCUGAUUUCUGUGCGCCUUCCAAUCAUUGAAUCACAAAGGGAAUGUCCUUUAGACUUGAAAGAAGCAAUAUCUAGCAUCUGUUUUGCUGCGCCAAGAUGUGCCGAUCUGCCAGAGUUGCUGCAAGUUCAAAUGCUAUUUGCUUCCAAAUAUGGAAAGGAAUUUGUAGUCGCUGCAAAUGAGCUUAUGCCAGAAUGUGGUGUCAAUCGCCAGUUGAUAGAAUUUUUAUCUGUUCGUGCUCCUUCACCUGAAGCAAAAUUGAAGCUUCUGAAGGAAAUUGCUGAGGAGCAUGAAUUAGAUUGGGAUCCAGCUGCUUUUGAAACCGAGCUUUUAAAACCACAUGAAGACUUGUUGAAUGGUCCAACACAAUUUGUUAGUGG